rnacentral:rRNA from 1 species
AACGAACGCUGGCGGCAGGCUUAACACAUGCAAGUCGAGCGCCCCGCAAGGGGAGCGACAGACGGGUGAGUAACGCGUGGGAAUCUACCCAUCUCUACGGAAUAACGCAUGGAAACGUGUGCUAAUACCGUAUACGUCCUUCGGGAGAAAGAUUUAUCGGAGAUGGAUGAGCCCGCGUUGGAUUAGCUAGUUGGUGGGGUAAAGGCCUACCAAGGCGACGAUCCAUAGCUGGUCUGAGAGGAUGAUCAGCCACACUGGGACUGAGACACGGCCCAGACUCCUACGGGAGGCAGCGGUGGGGAAUAUUGGACAAUGGGCGCAAGCCUGAUCCAGCCACGCCGCGUGAGUGAUGAAGGCCCUAGGGUUGUAAAGCUCUUUCACCGGUGAAGAUAAUGACGGUAACCGGAGAAGAAGCCCCGGCUAACUUCGUGCCAGCAGCCGCCGUAACAC